rnacentral:lncRNA from 1 species
AAAAAACCCUUUGUAUGUUUUGCCCCCUCUUUGGCUCACUGUAAUUCCUUCUCUUGUCCAACAGGUGGAGUUUGUGCCACAUCUGCCAAAGACAAUCAGUGGGAAAAUCAGAAGAAACGAAUUGCGCAAGGCAGAGUGGGGGAAAGCUUAGAUUUAGCUGUUUACUUCCACAGCGCCUGUUCUGAGUUUUAUAUUGGUUCCUUAUGUUGCAAGAUCAUGCCAUGCCAGCCUCUGUAUUUAAAUCCCAAUGCUGCAGCUGUCACACACACACUGCAAAAAAAAAAAACCAACCCCAACCCUCGCAUACCCACUCCCUAGGACUUUGAGGUAUAUUACAAGCAGUGCAGGAUCAGGCAUUUGGGGAAUAUCAGUGGCUGAGCAUCUCCCUCCACCCAUUUAUAUAAAAUCCAAAAAGCAUCUUGCAAGGUUGAGCAAAGCAAAGCGUAACUCUCAUUCCAGAUGCUGAGUCGCAUGCAGAAAAGAACACAGUGUACUCUGGAGAAAAUGCCAACACAAAGUUGAUUCCAAAGCUCAGAAGCUUAAAAAAUCACCAUGAAUCUGCAGGGAGCUACAAGAACAAGCUAGACAUGUAAUCAAGCAUGUUAGCCAGUUCCUUUCCCCGCUCCCCUGUAGAGACAGAAUGGAAGGGUCUUGAUCUGUUCAGAUCUCCUGUUGACCCAACAGCUUCCAACACACAGGAUGAUGGAAGUAUCCACACCCAGGCCACCGAAAAAAUCAGGGGAGUAAAAGUUGUUGUAAUGGGGCCAUAGUUGUCUCAAAGCAAGUGAACUGUCUGGGAUUAUAAAUAAGGACCUUCACAGCACUGUUGACACAUGCUCAUUUCAACAUUCCACAUAGUUACUGGCAGCAAGCUUCUUUGGGCACCCCUGCUAGAAAGCCCUUCUAGAGACACAACCUGGCCGCAACCUAAAUAAGUCCAGUCUCUAUUGUGCAUCAGGGUGAUAUAAACUACAAGGGAUCCGGUGGUCACCAUGCAAGAGUAGCAUCCCCACCAAAGCUCCCACCAACGAUGUACUAUGCUGAAUGAUGCCGGCAUCAUUGAAGCAGGAGAAAAGGCUUUUAAUUCAGCUGGACACAAUAUUAAAUUCUUUUAAAUCCCAUUUAGUUCAAUGGGAGAAUUCAAUACACACUGAACGUCAGUGGGGCCUGAAGCGUGUGAUAGUGACUGAUCAUACCAGGAAUAUUUUUCGUUUCUGCAACAACCGGAGGCCCACAUCUGUACUUAAAUAUCCUCUCCCCCAUCCGUGUGUAAGCAAGCUCCUAGGAUUAUAGUUAAGAACAACUGAGCAGACUUUUAAGUAUUAAUAUUUCUGCAUAUGUAACUUCCCUACAGUGCUUAAAGAGCUAUCAAAAUCAAAAAGCUAUCAACAGGCAAAAUCCAAACUGUUAAAACAAAAAAUUGUUUUUAUUUCAUAUUUUAUUUCACUUAAUUCAGAUCAUAAAAAAUGGUUAGCUAAAAAAUUCCAGCCCGGACCAAUAUGGGUUAUCUCCUGGGACACUGAAAGCACUAUAGGCACAGUAUUUCAUGAUAUUGGCAACCAUUUUCAAAUCAUUGCCAGUUUUCUCAUGCAUUCAAGAAGAAAGUCACGGAACUCUCCUGCCAUGCUAUGUGUCAGGGAACUGCCAUCGGUAGGAAGGGAGGUGAAAGGACUCAGACAGGUUGGAAGAGACUUAGCAGCUGAAGAGGAAACCAGCAGGGGGAGAGAAGCUGAACUGAGGGAAAGGGAGCUGGGGGAUGGCUCAGAGAUACUUCCAGCGAAAACAGUGGUGAGGUUUCCGGACCUCCUGUAGCGACACCCACUCCUCGCCGGAAACUGUCACGCAGAGAGUCCAGAAGACGUGUUUCCGUUAAG